CCAAGGUUUCCCCAGCUAACAAUGUUAGGCUCCAACAUCGCUCAUACUUUCAGCUGCAGAAUUAUUACUGUUAAGAGUAUGAAAGAAAUAUUAUGAGUAACGUUGGUGGCAGCUCUCACCACACUGUCCAAAGAAGGGAGAACCUCCAGCUCCAUGCAGAGCUUGGGAUACCAACAAAGUCUUCAGUCUGCUCAGGAAAAUGUGCUUUUGGAAUCUGAGAGAAGGCUGAAGACUAUAAGGAAGGCAAACGCUAGAGGAAUGUAAAGGAGAGGGUAUGGAGGACAAAAAACCAAAAACCUCCAAACCCUGGUCAUGAAAGCAGUUUAAACAGUAUAAUUUGAAAAAAUGCUGCACUUAUUCUUUCUAGUUAUAACAUCAUGC
rnacentral:lncRNA from 1 species